GGACUCGUAGCACAGUCUGGAUAGUGCGGGCGGCUUCGGACCGCCAGGUCGAGGGAUCGAAGCCCUCCGAGCCCUCUA
rnacentral:tRNA from 1 species